AGGAGACCAGUUGAUUUUUAGUAGGAGAGGGAUAUUUUACUGAUAGAAUAUCCAUUCUUAAGAUGAAUCCUGAUGACACAUUUCUUAUCAUUUUAAUCCAUGGAAUAAUGAUUUUAAAAGAAAGUAUUUAUUCCUGAAAACAUUCAACGCGUAUCAUUUUCCCGCCAUCUCUGUAUUCAAAUCAACAUAUGAUGAAAAAAUAUAUUGACCAUUACUAACUUUUUGUUAUAUUAUUGGAAGUUAAUCAUUUAUUUUAAAGUCGCACAUGUAUUAUGCUUUAAGGGCUUAUGUCAAAGUGAUGUAUACUUCUAUGGCCAACAUGUUGUACAGUAAUUAUAGAUUGCUUCAGGAAAAAUCGGAUGUACUGUGUAUUAAAGCAGUUAAAACAUCAUUGACAAUCAGAAGUAUCAAAAAUGUUUAGAAGCAUUACACCGUGCGUGCUGUUUGUUAUGAUCGGAUUGACGUAUGCUUGGCCCCCUGCCUUCAGAGUGCCAGUUAAUUCUCGUAAGUAUUGAAAGUAUAGUAGGUAAGGACUACAAAAAAUGAAAAAAAUAAAUGAAAAAAGGUUAAAAACAUUGGAAACUAAGUUUGUUUAGAACCCCCAGAGAUACUGACGAAUAGCUGUUUCGAGGGAGAGUUAUUACACAGUUAUACAUUUGAUCGUUUCUCCAUGUCAUGCAAGAGAUUUUUCCAUCAUGGUGGAUGUAAAACUACUCCUAAUCUAUUUAAAUCAUUGGCGGCAUGCGAAGAUGCUUGUAAAACUUUGUAACAAAAUAUCAUUCUAUAUGCUAUAAAAAUGUUUCCUGUUCCUUA